AACAGGCUGGGAAGUAAUUGAGUUGGAA
rnacentral:piRNA from 1 species